UUGGUAAAUCGGGCAGUCGCUCUUUGCUAACAUUUUAGCAGAGGGAGGAAAGUCCGAACACCUACUUUGUUCACAAAGUUAAAAAGGUAGCGGGUAACGCCCGUCGCGAGUAAUCGUAGAGGUGCGAACAGAGAUGUCUUUGAACGAAAGUUCAAAGAAAGCAAACCCAAAGAUUUGAUUCUAUCAAAUUGAGCUUAGCUCGGUACAAUGGGUUAAAAGUAUCGGAGUGAAACAGCUAAAUCCUUACCCAGGUGCAAGGCUGUGUCCUUCGGAGCUUUACGCGAAGGAGGAAAUGCCGCUUGAGGCCAAUGACAACAUUGGUCCCAGAUAAAUGACUGCACAAAUACAGAAUUCGGCUUACAGAUUUACCAAGGAA
rnacentral:RNase_P_RNA from 6 species